rnacentral:lncRNA from 1 species
AAAGAAAAAAAUAUUUAAAGAAAAAGCCAUAGGAAAAGAAAUAAAAACCAUACCUCACAUCUAUAGAUCAAUCUUCUGUCUUCGAUUCAAGAAACUGUUCAAGAAAAUCUCUCCACUGCAAUAGAUAGAGGUACCCUUAUUACUCUUCUUACGAUUCUAUUAUGUGAUUAAUCUUGAUAUUCAAACAAUUUAAAGGUUCAUGUAAAUUAUGCUUACACUAUGUGUUCCUAACUUUGUUCAAGUACUAAUUCAACAAAGAAAUCAAUGGGUUUUGACACUAUUUUCUAAAUUUUUUUUAUAAUACAUCUUUAGAGGAAAGAGCACCUUUCAUUAGCAUUAUUUAAACUCAAAACUACACUGGACAUACAAAUCGUAGCUACGUUACUUUGGACGCAUGAUGAUAUCUUUGAAAAAAGUAAUCAUUGUCCAUUUGGCUUUGAACAUUUGUUGGCUUUUAAGAGCAUAUGCAUCGCAAGUAUCUCCAUGAUUUUUCCAUUAAUAAAAAGAAAAAGAAAAAAGAAAGAGAGAGCAAGGGAAUCGUCUCUUGUUUGAGAUACUUUGGCAAACUCAUGAGAUACUUCUUGUACACUUGCCAUUUUAUGGUCAAUGCCAAUCUCAUGAGAAACUUCUAAUACAUUUUUCAUCUUAUGAAUGGUUAAUGAUUUUUCAAAAGAUUCCAAGCGAUAAUCAUGCUCUAAGGCUCUUUUAAAUAACAAUCUAGGGUAAAAUGCAAAUUCACCAAAUUUUUUUUGAUGUAGUGGAGAAAGUGGACGAAACGAAAGGCAUAAGGAACUCAUGAAAUAAGAAGUUUGUUAGAAUUUGUACCACAUCCAGACUUUGAGAGAUUUAUGGACAAUAUAUAAGUGUAUGGUAAUUCUCCAUUCAUUAGUUAGCUUUUAGGUGUGAGUUAGGCUCAUACUAAUAUGAUAUCAAAGCCCAAGGUUCCAAUUUCUGGAUUGUGGAUCACACCCGUGGAUGUCCAGUCCCACAAACUUCGCGGUUCAGAAUUCCAAUCUUGAACGUGAGGGAGGUGUGUUAGAAUUUGUCCAACAUCCAGACUUUGAAAGAUUUGUGAUUAAUAUUUAAAUGUGUGGCAAUUCUCUACUCAUGAACUAGCUUUUAGAUGUGAGUUAGGCUCAUAUUAAUAGAGUUGACCAAAUUGAUGAAAUAAGAAAUGGACCAAAUAAUUUAUCUGAACAUUCAUUUUUUUUUAUAAAAGUUGUAGUUCAAUUUUAAUUAUUUUUUUAAAUAUAACUAUAAAAUGUCUUAAAAUGAUAUUUUUCAUAACACAACAAAUACACAAAUUCUCACUUUUCUUUUCAUAUAUCAUCUUUCUACUAAAAGUAUCUCAUAUUUUG